rnacentral:lncRNA from 1 species
GGUGAGGUCUUUUGGUAGAUAGGGAAUCAAACCUCGUUCGAACCGCUUGGAACGAGAUUUAUUCCGUACGAAUUGAUUUGAUCCGAUUUGAAAUCCAGCCUAACAUAAAAUAACCGUUUGGUUCGGAUCGAAAUGGAGCCGGCCUUGAUUCUAUUCCAGUUCAUUUUGGUCAGUCUAGCCUCUUAGCGAUUCGAAAUCAAUCCCUAUGUCUUGACCUCUUGAACGGAAACCCUCCAGGAUCAAGUGACACAAUCAGAUCCACUCAUUCCCCUCCAAGAACGAUUCUGUUCCAUGAUUCAAUCCUAAACAACCGAACAAGACCUUGGGCCUGUUCGCUUCAGCUUAUAAGCCGGCUGAAAAGCUGAAACGGCUGAUUUGUUGUGAGAGGAAAACACUGUUUGGUGGCUGGUAAGCCAGCUGAAUAAGCUGAAGCGAACAGGCCCCUUAAUGUUUUGUUUUGGACAUAACAUGGUCUCUAAUUAAUGUGUGUUAUGUGUGCCAUUGAUGUUUAGUUUCUAUUGAAUACAUCUAUAAACUUUAAUAAAAUUUUGAGGUUAUGAUUAGUAUAUUUCAAAAGAACAUUACACAUAUGUGCUUUCAUGUUUCUAAAAUAAAUAUUUAAAAAAGUUGUUGAUAGUCAAAAUUUUAAUCGAACUUGUACAAAAUAUCAAGUACUCCCUCCGUCUCAAAUUACUAUUCAUUUUGGUUUUUCUACAUACAUAGCUUUUGGUAUGCAUCUAGAUAUAAACUAUAUAUGUCUAGAUUCAUACUAAAAUUUAUGUAUGUAGAAAAGCAAAAAAAAUAGUAAUUUGGGACAGAGGGAGUAUUUAUGAUUGGCAUGAGUAGUAAUUAUUUUUUCCAUCUGGGUAGCAUAGUUACAACAUUUUUUUCCUUGCUGCAAAACAUUCUUACUGUUGUCAUGUACUCCGAUCCUAACAACAUGCAUUGGAUAUUAAAUGGUUCAGCCAAAUACCCAGUAUUAAGGCUAGUCUCAGGGGCACGGUUACCAAGAUUAGGAACUAGAUAAUUAUUCAUGUUACGGGGUGUUUGAUACUAGUUGCUAAACUUUAGCAGUGUCACAUCGGAUGUUCGGAUGCUAAUUAGGAGGACUAAACAUGAGCU